AGGAUACGCGUCCGAGAAUAAGGCGGCUGAUACUUUCCAUAGUCUUCGUAUGCCGGAGUGAACUUUAGGAAAGAGGAGAAUGCGAGGAAAAUGAGAUCGAACGAUAUAUUGUAGGUAGCGCGAAAAUCGGUUGUACGUGGUGACGCAGGAGUGGGCGUUUUGCCGGUGUCGCCGUCGUUCGACGACGAAGCUCGAAACCGUCAGUUCACGCGAACACUCGAAGAUCAACGGCACAGGACGAGGAAGCCGGUCGACCUCUCGUACUCUUCUCGAUCGGCCAGUCGACAUCGUAUCCACUAGCUCGGUCAUUACAAGCGUGUUACUAUGAUAAAGCCGAAGAAACUGGGAAUCAUCGGUGGCUCUCUGUUCGCCUUUGGAGUUGUGUUCUGUGCGAUCGUUUUCCCACCCUUCUUGAAGUGGAAGAUCAAAAACCAAGUAACGUUGAAACCUGAUACCGAGAUGCGCGAGUUAUGGUCCACCUUUCCUGUUCCAUUGGACUUCAAGAUCUACCUUUUCAACGUGACGAAUCCUACAGAAAUUACAGCAGGCGAGAAGCCAAUCCUCGAAGAAGUAGGACCAUUUUUCUACGACGAAUAUAAACACAAAGUAAAUAUGGUCGAUCGAGAAGAAGACGAUAGUUUAGAGUACAACUUGAAAGCAACUUGGUUUUACAAUCCGUCGUUGAGCAGCCCAUUGACCGGCGAGGAGGAGCUGGUCUUUCCUCAUGUUCUUAUUCUCAGCAUGGUCAAACUUACUCUUGAACAACAACCAGCUGCAAUUGGAAUUCUCAAUAAGGCUGUGGACAAUAUCUUCAAGAAACCAAGUUCUGUAUUCGUAAGAGCAAAAGCAAGGGAGAUACUGUUCGAUGGUGUGCCUCUGGACUGCACGGGGAAGGACUUCGCUUCGAGCGCAAUCUGCAAUGUUUUGAAAGAAAGGGAAGACGCUUUGUUACCCGAUGGGCCCGGACGCUACCUGUUCUCCCUUUUUGGCCCAAAAAACGGUACAGUUCUUCCUGACCGUAUACGAGUGUUACGGGGAGUGAAGUACUGGAAAGACGUCGGAAAAGUGACCGAGGUGAAUGGAAAGCCAGAGUUGGACAUUUGGACCGAGGACCAUUGCAACGAGUUCAAUGGCACGGAUUCCACCAUCUUCGCGCCGUUGCUCACGGAACAGGACGAUAUCGUGUCGUACUCGCCGGAUAUUUGUAGAAGUUUGUCGGCUCGGUUCGACCACAAGACCAAAGUCGCAGGCAUCAACACUUACCACUACAAGGCUGAUUUGGGCGAUAUGAGCACAAAUCCCGAGGAAAAGUGUUUUUGUCCCGCGCCAGAUAAUUGUCUAACGAAAAACCUUAUGGACUUGACCAAGUGUGUAGGCGUGCCACUUAUCGCUUCUCUACCACAUUUGCUUGGGUCGGAGGAAAAAUAUCUGGAAAUGGUCGAUGGACUUCAUCCCGACGAAGAAAAGCACGGCAUUAACAUGGACUUCGAACCAAUGACAGCCACUCCUUUAAUUGCACGCAAGAGGCUACAGUUCAAUAUGUUCCUUAACAAGGUUGAAAAAUUCAAGCUAAUGAAGAACUUCCCAGAGUGCUUAUUUCCAUUCUUCUGGGUCGAGGAGGGAAUAGAGCUCGGCGGUGAGUUUCUGGCGAAGCUGAAGAUGGUGUUCAAGAUGAUAAGCAUAAUCGGGUUCAUGAAGUGGCUGACGAUAAUAAGCGGCGCUUGCGUGAGCGGAGCAGCUGCCGCGAUUUUCUUCAAGAACAAAGACAAAGGGUCGUUGGACGUGACGAAGGUAACUCCGCAGUCACAAAAUGGAAAAAACGAGGAUGAGAAGAAAUGGCCUAAUCAGAUGACCAUCAGUACGAUACAAAGCGCAGCGGUGCCGCCUAAUCUCGACGCGAAUUAAGUUAUUAGUCAGUCGUAUCUCCAAGCUCUACGAUCUUUGUAUAAUAGAAAGAGAAUUUGUCGAAUAAAUGAAAAAUCAACGUCGCGUUAAUUAAUCGCGUUAAUUAGACGAAAUUUCCAUCGUGCGAUAACGUUUUAAUAUCAAGAUUAAGAGGUCGGUUUUGUCCGUUUUACAUAGACGACAGAUCAUAGGAAAAGAGACAACAUUGAUACUCGUUACUCGUCUACUUGUACAAAUUCGCUAAUAAUAUUAACGUAACUCUAAUGAAACUCAGGAAGUGUACAGAAGUUGUAGAUCGUGUAUUAAUCGAGGACGUUUUGUUUUUACGUACGAUAUAUAUUUAAUAUCAUUCUUUUCCCUCUCUUAGUUAUAAAUCUUGUGACGACAGCGUACAAUAAUGUUAACGUAUUGCCAGACAAUUCCGUACGAGUGUAUCGAUAGUUACCUUUUGCCACUAAUUCUGAUAAGUGCGGUUGUAAUCGAUUAAGGCGAAACCAACGAAACGCAUUUGUCCAGUCGCAAUUUACAACGUGUACUUCAAAAUUGCUCAAUCUGUUGCACAGAGUAUUAGAGUAAGCUAUAAAUCACCAGAUAAAUAGGUUUACGAAUGACUUUGUUACAUCGUAUAGAGACAAACGGUAACCAUUGUCGACUGGAAAUGUUAUAUAUUUCGAUCGAACGUAAGAGACUCGAUUUUUAGUCUCAGCUCUUAUACAUUAAUGUCUUUAGAACGAGCGUAUAUAUAGCUAUUUUAUUCAAUUACGUUUAAUUCGAAAAGCUUAUUCGUAAGUUUCUGUUAAAACACGUUUCUCCGAGUACCCAUAUACCUACUUUUCUUCGUGUAUUUUUACAAGGUAAAAAAUUCUGACGAAAUUGCAGCCAACAACAAACGAUUCUUUAUAAAAAUUCUUAUACCUAUCAUGUACUUACUUAUAUUCUGAUAGUAUUACAAUUAAUAUACGAUAUAACAUACAUUUAAUGUAACGUAUCACUCUUAUAUAUUUUUCUACAUUGCACAUAAAUAUUAAAAACAUUUCUAGUGGACAAUAUUAUGGUCUACUUGUAUGACUUUCUAUAGCAGUCCUGUGUAUUGUGUAUGUACAAGUCUCAAGCGUUUUAAACGUGUAAUUUAUGCGAAUAGAUCAGCACAUUCAUUUUUUUUUUUUUUUUAUAAAAAUUGAUAAUUAUUAAAUCAAGCUAGAAGUCAAUUUUCAUUCAGCAAUAACUUUCCUGCGGCGUUUCACCGUAUUCGUGAUUAUAUUUAGUUUAAGUUUCCUAAGCUCUUAAUGCGUUAACUCUUAAAGAUUAUUUUAACGAUCUCUCGCAGUCUAUAACACGAACGAAAUUUCCAUACAUUGCGAUAUUGAACGUAAUAUACGAAUGCAUCGUUGUUAAACCCGUGUGUUUCUCCUAUCGUCGGAUGGAUCGAAAGCGGUACAGACGUAUUUUUCUGCAAACGGUAGGCAGGACAUAGCAUAAAUCCUCGAAUCUUUGCGUUUCGAUGUUUAGAGACACACAGAGAUCUCCUCGGUUGGAGAUUAAUUUUAUUCACGAUUUUCUCGAAUCGAAGAUCUCGGCACUUGUACCGUGUUUCCUUCGAACUUCUCGCCUAGUUCUGAAUGUUACGUUACUUUGAAAUGUAAUCGAAGCAUAGAUCGAACCGUAAGAAUAAAUAAAUAAUAUUUUCUAACGUGGUA